GGCCGGCGGGGGGCGGCGGGCCGAGGCGGGAUCCGGGCGGCGGGGUCCGGGCGCGGGCGCGGCGGGCGCGCAGGAGACGAGGACGGCAGCCCGGGCCCUGCGAGGAGCCGGGGGCUGCGGGAGGAGGCCGCGAUCCGGGUCCGGGCCCAGGCGCAGGCCCAGGCCCAGCAGGAGGAGGAGCGGGGUUCCGGGCCGCAUGGCGCCGCCUGCCCGGGAAGCUGGGAGCUGCCGCCGCAGGCCGCGGGUCCAGCCAACCGCCGCGGGGGGCGCGGGCCGCGGGGUCGCGAGCCUGAUGCGGCGAAUGCGGUAUUUGGAGUUUGUGUGAAAUCUUCCGGGUAUAUGGAUUUCGAACUUAAGUCUGUCGUGGUCACAGAAUACAUUCGAUAUGAUUUUGAACCCUUUACAUGGAUUGAGACUUGUUUGAAAGCUCAUACAGUAGUGUGGUCUGCCUUGAUGUAUUGUCUUCGUGCACUUGAAGACCACGCGUGUUCUACCGUUGUUGGGUGGGUCGUCCUACACACGUGGAGUCCAUCGGGAUAGUUGGUACCCACCCGUCCCUUCUCCUAUGUCUUUUCUGGAUUUUUCUCGAGUUUUCCUGUCUCUGCUGAGAGAGGCUGUUAAUGUCUCCUGUGGUGACUGGGAAAUUGUCUUUUUUCCCCUUGAAUUCUGCCCGUUUUAGCUUCAUGUAUUUUGAGGCUCUAUUAGGUGGAUACACAUUUGUGGUUAUGUCCACAUGAAUUGGCCCUUUUCUCAUGAUGAAAUGUCUCUGUUUAUCUCUAGUAACGAUCUUUACAACAAAGAAGCCUAUUUUACCUGAUAUGCAAAUGCUGGAGGAUAUGUUGAUUGUAGGUCAAUAAAACUGGAAAAUAAAAUAGCCAUACUAGCCUUCUUA